GGCCUCGUAGCUCAGUUGGCUAGAGCAUUGGCUGUACUGAAGCCUUCCCUUUGCUGUCUUGGGUUCAAAUCCUGCCGAGGCCA
rnacentral:tRNA from 1 species